rnacentral:rRNA from 1 species
GGGCGUAAAGAGCUCGUAGCGGUUCAACAAGUCGGGUGUUAAACCCCCAGGCUCAACCUGGGGCCGCCACCCGAAACUGUUGUGACUAGAGUUUGGUAGGGGAUCACGGAAUUCCUGGUGUAGCGGUGGAAUGCGCAGAUAUCAGGAGGAACACCAGCAGCGAAGGCGGUGAUCUGGGCCAAUACUGACGCUGAGGAGCGAAAGCGUGGGGAGCGAACAGGAUUAGAUACCCUGGUAGUCCACGCCGUAAACGGUGGGCACUAGGUGUGGGGACUUUUCAACGGUUUCCGCGCCGCAGCUAACGCAUUAAGUGCCCCGCCUGGGGAGUACGGUCGCAAGACUAAAACUCAAAGAAAUUGACGGGGGCCCGCACAAGCAGCGGAGCAUGUGGCUUAAUUCGAUGCAACGCGAAAAACCUUACCUAGAUUUGACAUGCUGGGAAAAGCCACAGAGAUGUGGUGUCCUUCGGGGCUCAGCACAGGUGGUGCAUGGCUGUCGUCAGCUCGUGUCGUGAGAUGUUGGGUUAAGUCCCGCAACGAGCGCAACCCUUGUUCUAUGUUGCCAGCACGUAAUGGUGGGGACUCGUAGAAGACUGCCGGGGUCAACUCGGAGGAAGGUGGGGACGACGUCAAGUCAUCAUGCCCCUUACGUCUAGGGCUGCACACAUGCUACAAUGGGCGGUACAGAGGGCUGCUAAACCGCGAGGUGGAGCCAAUCCCUAAAACCGCUCUCAGUUCAGAUUGCAGGCUGCAACUCGCCUGCAUGAAGUUGGAGUUGCUAGUAAUCCCGGAUCAGCAC